ensembl:snRNA U4 U4 spliceosomal RNA
GGCUUUGCUCAGUGCCAGUAUCGUAGCCAAGGAGUUUUAUCUGAGAUGAGAUUAUUGCUAAUUGAAAACUUGUCCCAAUACCCUGCCGUGAUGACAUGCAAUAACGUCGGCAUUGACAAUUUUUGACAGUCUCUAGGGAGA